GACGAACGCUGGCGGCGUGCUUAACACAUGCAAGUCGAACGGAAAGGCCCUGCUUUUGUGGGGUGCUCGAGUGGCGAACGGGUGAGUAACACGUGAGUAACCUGCCCUUGACUUUGGGAUAACUUCAGGAAACUGGGGCUAAUACCGGAUAGGAGCUCCUGCUGCAUGGUGGGGGUUGGAAAGUUUCGGCGGUUGGGGAUGGACUCGCGGCUUAUCAGCUUGUUGGUGGGGUAGUGGCUUACCAAGGCUUUGACGGGUAGCGGGCCUGAGAGGGUGACCGGCCACAUUGGGACUGAGAUACGGCCCAGGCUCCUACGGGAGGGAGCAGUGGGGAAGAUUGCACAAUGGGCGGAAGCCUGAUGCAGCAACGCCGCGUGCGGGAUGACGGCCUUCGGGUUGUAAACCGCUUUCGCCUGUGACGAAGCGUGAGUGACGGUAAUGGGUAAAGAAGCACCGGCUAACUACGUG
rnacentral:rRNA from 1 species